GGUUACUUUAUCAAAAAAAAAAAAAUUCUCUCCCUCGAAAACCCGAUGGACUCCCCUCUCUCUCUUUCUCUGCUACUUUUUAGCACCGUCUUCUUCUCCCGCAAGCCACCUUCCUCACCUGCUCCCUUCCCUCAGAUCGUCCAAGAAUCGUGCAGGGGCUGUAAUCUGCCCUCAAAAUCUUGUUCUUGAUCCAAAAAAAAAGGUGCAUAAGUCCGCCAAAGGUUUAUGGGAAGUAGCUUUUCCUCAUCUAGAUAUACUUGAAGAGAUCUAUGGGAAGUACAGGACGACAGGAAAGGGUGCUGAAAUAUUUGCAGAGGCUAUUGAAAAUAUAGAGAGAGAGGAGGCAGCUAUUUUGAGUGAUAAAGAUCCAGUGGACCUUAGCAUGGAUGAGGAUGAUGGAGGCCACUUGGUUACAUAGCCUCCUUCGAUAAAGAAGACAUUUGGUAGCAGUUCGAGAAAAACAAAGAAGUAGAACGUUAUCCAACAGAAGGAAGCAAGGAUGGUGAGAGAAUCCGAUCUUAUGAAGGAGACUUUAGAGGUCAUGUCUACGACCCUUGAGAUAUUUAUGUCGCACAUGGAUAUGCAUUUUGGUACCAUAGUUGAAGCGAUGGCACGUGAGCAAGAGAUGGUUGAGAAGAAUGCAACCAGAGUAGUGGAGGAGCUACUUACAUUAGAGGCAUUGACUAGUGGUGAAGUGAUAAAGGCGGCUGAUAUUCUCGCAGCAGAGCCUAGCAAGAGUGCAGUGUUCUUCUCCCUUCCACCACAGUUGAAGAGGCAGUACAUGCUUAGCUUUCUUGACUCGGACAUUGGUGCAUUAGGUUUUAGACACUAGUAUUUCGUGUGAUGCUAUUGUUAGAGUGCUUGACUUUUUGUUAUGAAAAUGUGAGAAUCUUUUGGUUAGAUUUUUAUGAUCAUGAAGAUGUUGGAUCAGUGAAUUGGAUCAUGUUUGUUUUGUUUGGACUGUGAGAUUUGAUCAAAUUUGGAGGUUGCCGGCAUAUCUGUUCUCCUAUAUUUGACUAUGAUAUAUAUCAUUUGCAGGAUUGUCAUAAUUUAUUUGAAUCUUGAUAAUUUUGAUAUGACAAAUGAUGUGCGGUUUAGGUUUUGGAAUGAUAUAAAAUUAUGGCAUUAUCUGCUUUCACAUCUUCGGACUCCAAUGCGUGUUUGGAUGAGGUAAGGGCUAAAUUUAUUUUGAGUAGAUCAAUUUAGAAUUAUUUUUAACUUUAGUAGUCUAAUAUGAUGUUGAUAAAUAAAUAUAGAAAAUAGACUUAUUUUCCUUCCUUUUCUUGUUGCUUGAUUACACUGAUGGAACAAGAUUGGACAAACCAAUCCUUUGCUUAAAACAUUUAUUAUUAUUGGCUUGCAUGUUCCAUUCAAAAUUGUUAUUCUUGAAUAUACUGAUUUUUCAAGGAGGUAAUGUUAUUGGCUGCAAUGACCUUGCUAUAUCUGUCAAAAGAGUUAGCUGCAAGCAUGUCAGUUUGCAUACAACAGUUGAUGGCUCUGCCAAAGUUGUUGUGGAAGGACCAAAUCCUGUUAUUGCAAAAUCUGGUAACCAAAUAAAGAAGCUCUCUAUUCAAGACAAAGAUCUGAUUGUUCAGGGUGACAUUAUUGAUUUGAUUCUUGAUAAUUAUUUAUUUAUUUUUGUAACUGUUGGCAAUGUGCAUGCAUCUUUGUCAAAAAGAGAUUCUAGCUUCUUAAGAAAAGAAAAGACAUGGUGAAGAAGAGUGUUCAGCUGUCAAAAGGAAUUGACAUAUUCUUGAAGAUGAACCUUUGGAAAGGACUUUGCAGGUUUUGCUCUAAAGUGCUUUGCUGGCAUGUAUCCAUGUUUUGAUAAAAUGGCAAUCAUUCUAGUCAUUUUUGAAUUAUUAAACUCUUUUCCAAAUCAUGAUGGUUUUGGUUCAUUUUUUAUAAUACUGCAGUCAUUGUUUCUUAGAGGUGAAAUUAAAUAUCAUAAGUUGAUAUUGUUUGGAUUCUUCCCCUACAUUCAUACGUGUAUAAUUUUACCCUUGUAUAGAAGAAAGGAUUCUUGCUGAAUUUUAGAUGAAUAAAGAUGGGAGGAUAAGCUCUAACUGAAGUCUACUGGUUUAUCCCAAUUUGGAAAUAUGUAACCUUGCCUAUUAACAAUUCGAUCAAAUUGUAUGAGAAUAUCAUUUUUUUUCGCAAGUAUGGUAGUUAUUAUUAUAUUUAGAUAUAUCAAUAAAGAGCUGGAAUCCUAAGGCUUACUGAUGUAUCUUUGGUUCAUUUAUUGUGGAUAUUGAAGUUUCUCUUGGGUGAGCUGAAAAUUUCAAGGUGUUGAAAAAUUGCAUAUUUGCUUUUUGAAAAGGUACAUAUUGUGGUUGUGACAGUGAAAUUAGUGUUGAUUUAUUAUGAUUUUUUAAAUAUUAUGAUGAACUUGAGCUAUCUCUGGACAGAAGAAGGAAGAGGAAAAAGAAUGACUGGUACCAAAAGAUGCUUGAAUUAUCAGCACUUGCUCAUAUUUCUUCUCAUACAUAUGUGUUAUCUGUCUUUUUACCAUUUUUUUGAUUGAGUUUUGAGUACUUCAGCAAUUUUUACUUUAGCUUGCUCUUUUUAUCUAUUAUUAAUUGCUACCUGUUAAAAAUUUAGAUGUUCAAUCUUCCCAAAAGUUUAUGUCAUUUUUUUAGUGAAGGCCAACCUGCUCAUUUCUCUUGGAGGUAUAUGUAUACAUGUUUAUUUUAUUUGCUCUUUAUCUUAACAUGGAGACAUAUGGUUGGAACUGUUAUUCAGAUAUCUUAUUCUGUGCAUAUGAAAUUGUUUGAUGCUUAUGUACAACUUCAAAAUCAUAAUUGAUGAUAGUUUUAUUCUUUUGCAAAGCUGCUUCCUAAUAUCUUCUGAUAUUAUUAGCAUGAUCAAUUGCAAGAUGAUUUAUGUCAUUUGUGCUCCUGAUGAGUCCACUGGAUGGCAGUCUUGUUGCUAAAAGCAGUUGAAAAUAGCAGAUCCUGUCGCAUGCUAUCAUCUUUUUACAAUGUGAUGUAAGAAAUAGUUAACAAAUAUAUGAAUUUUACAUUGCAGUAGCUACUGUGGCUAAAGAGAUGUCUUUUAUUGUUUAAGGCAUUAGUUCUGGCAAGCUUGGUUGUCAGAUUUUGUAAUUUUUUUUUGAAAAAAAAAAUUUAAACUAAUGUUGAUGGUGCAGGGUGUCUUUAUAAAAAUCCAGCAUCUAUUAAC